rnacentral:piRNA from 1 species
UGAUCGUAGCGAUUGGUUUUGCCUUGAA